ACUCAAAUGAAUUGACGGGGGCCCGCACAAGCAGCGGAGCGUGUGGUUUAAUUCGAGGCUACACGAAGAACCUUACCUGGGUUUGACAUGCAGGUGGUAGGGGUGUGAAAGCAUUCCGACCUUCGGGAGCCUGCACAGGUGCUGCAUGGCUGUCGUCAGCUCGUGCCGUGAGGUGUUAGGUUAAGUCCUGUAACGAGCGCAACCCCCGGAGUCAGUUACACGCAGUCUGGCUCAACUGCCCGUGACAAGCGGGAGGAAGGUGGGGAUGACGUCAAGUCAGCAUGGCCUUUAUAUCCAGGGCUACACACACGCUACAAUGGUCGGUACAAUGGGAAGCCAAGCCGUAAGGCGGAGCAAAUCCUAGCAAAGCCGGUCACAGUUCGGAUUGUGGGCUGCAACUCGCCCACAUGAAGUUGGAGUUGCUAGUAACCGCGCGUCAGCUAUAGUGCGGUGAAUACGUUCCCGGGCCUUGUACACACCGCCCGU
rnacentral:rRNA from 1 species